AUCUAGCCCAGAUUGCAGUGAAAAUCCUUUUUUUGGAAAAAAAAGAUUGUAACGAAAAGCUGGAAAAGCU
rnacentral:sRNA from 1 species